AUUGAACGCUGGCGGCAGGCCUAACACAUGCAAGUCGAACGAGUGGCGGACGGGUGAGUACUGUCUGGGAAACUGCCCGAUGGAGGGGGAGAACUACUGGAAACGGUAGCUAAUACCGCAUACCAUCGGAUGUGCCCCGAGGGGAUUAGCGCGUAGGUGGGGUAACGGCUCACCUAGGCGACGCUCCCUAGCUGGUCUGUGAGGAUGACCAGCAACACUGGAACUGAGACACGGUCCAGACUCCUACGGGAGGCAGCAGUGGGGAAUAUUGCACAAUGGGCGCAAGCCUGAGGCAGCCAUGCCGCGUGUAUGAAGAAGGCCUUCGGGUUGUAAAGUACUUUCAGCGAGGAGGCGUUACUCGCAGAAGAAGCACCGGCUAACUCCGUGCCAGCAGCCGCGGUAAUUC
rnacentral:rRNA from 1 species